UACGUAGGUGGCGAGCGUUGUCCGGAAUUAUUGGGCGUAAAGAGCAUGUAGGCGGUUUUUUAAGUCUGGAGUGAAAAUGCGGGGCUCAACCCCGUAUGGCUCUGGAUACUGGAAGACUUGAGUGCAGGAGAGGAAAGGGGAAUUCCCAGUGUAGCGGUGAAAUGCGUAGAUAUUGGGAGGAACACCAGUGGCGAAGGCGCCUUUCUGGACUGUGUCUGACGCUGAGAUGCGAAAGCCAGGGUAGCGAACGGG
rnacentral:rRNA from 2 species